CUUCCCUUGGAGGAGUAGGCAGCUACCAUCAGCUCUGGCUGGAAUAUCCCAUUGCUUUGCAGAGGUAAAUCAAAAUGAAGUCAUUAUGCAAAAGUAAAGAUAACAUGGGCCUGGCUGACUAAAGGUGGAUUAUGGCAGGGUGAACUUAACUAAAAGAAGAUAGCAGCCUGGCUAUUUACAUCUGAGAAUUAUCCUUCAAAAUCUACCAAAGACCACAUAGAUACAAGAAUAAAGUAAGAAGCGAAUGUUGGCAUCAUGAGUCAUGAUUCAGAUUAAUCUUCUAUGGCCUUGAAUCUAACCACUACAGCUCACAAAGUGAGAGAAGAGAGUCACCCAGAGCUUCCAAGGACCCCCAGAGUCGCUGUGCAACCUGCAAGCAGCACAAGAUUUCCUGUCAGUGAGCAGUUCUUAAACAUGUAUUAAGUCAAGGAAUUUUCAGG